GUCACUCAGGUCACUCAGGGUCACUCAUGGCAGGGUCACUCAGGGUCACUCAGGGUCACUCAGGUCACUCAGGACAGACUCACUCAGGCCAGGGUCACUCAGGGUCACUCAGGGUCACUCAGUAAAAGGUCACUCAGG